CCUACGGGUGGCAGCAGUGGGGAAUAUUGCACAAUGGGCGCAAGCCUGAUGCAGCCAUGCCGCGUGUGUGAAGAAGGCCUUCGGGUUGUAAAGCACUUUCAGCGGGAAGGAAGGCGGUGAGGUUAAUAACCUCAUCGAUUGACGUUACCCGCAGAAGAAGCACCGGCUAACUCCGUGCCAGCAGCCGCGGUAAUACGGAGGGUGCAAGCGUUAAUCGGAAUUACUGGGCGUAAAGCGCACGCAGGCGGUCUGUCAAGUCGGAUGUGAAAUCCCCGGGCUCAACCUGGGAACUGCAUUCGAAACUGGCAGGCUAGAGUCUUGUAGAGGGGGGUAGAAUUCCAGGUGUAGCGGUGAAAUGCGUAGAGAUCUGGAGGAAUACCGGUGGCGAAGGCGGCCCCCUGGACAAAGACUGACGCUCAGGUGCGAAAGCGUGGGGAGCAAACAGGAUUAGAUACCCGUGUAGUC
rnacentral:rRNA from 1 species